CCAGGUAAAUGAUGUGAGUGUGUUUGCAUAUUGAUCAGAUGCUUCAGUGCUCUGAGAGUGUUUAUAGUGCUGUGAGUUUAACACUUCAUCACUGACACACACAACAAUCUUCAUCAACAUGACCUUCAUCAUCAUCUUCAUCUGGACUCUCACAGCGUUUGCUCAAGAGUGUAGAGGACAGAUCAGCGUCACUCAGAGUCCCUCAACGACAGCAGCUCAACCAGGAGAAACAGUGAAGAUCAGCUGUAGAACCAGCACAAAUGUGUACAGUUAUUCUGGAACAUUCUUUUUCAGCUGGUACUUACAGAAACCUGGAGAAGCUCCUAAACUCCUGAUUUAUUAUACAAGCAGCCUCCAGUCAGGAACUCCAUCUAGAUUCAGUGGCAGUGGAUCUAACAGUGAUUUCACUCUGACCAUCAGUGGAGUCCAGACUGAAGAUGCUGGACAUUAUUACUGUCAGAGUUAUCACAGCAGUGGUGGUUAUGUGUUCACACAGUGAUAAAGGCUGGUACAAAAACCUGUGUCAGUCAGAGUCACAGUGACUGAACUGAUGCUGCAGCUGAUCAAACACUAUCACACACUCUACAGAGAAGAUUUAAAGAAUAUUAAUUGAAACAAAGCUUUCACUGGGUUUCCCAUUAGCUAAAUAUGUAAAUCUAAUACUUUUUAUCUUAUUAAUAUGAUCUAACACUAUUUCUUUGAGGUUCAUAAUCUGACAGCAUGUUCUUGUUUCAUCAUGAAUCUGCAGGUGUUUUCACGCUCCACUGAGUGAAGUUUAUCUGAGCAAAAACCCUGAACCAAUGAAUGACUCAAAACAAUAAGGACUCAAAUUAACUCAAAGUUUCAGUUGUAUUUUAUUUAUUGACUGAAAAUAGAAUCAUAACUGAAUGAUAAAGCAGACACAUAUGUUCUUGUAUGAAGCACACAAAGCAGAGCAGAUGCAGAUGCGAGCGACUGAAGCUGGAUGUGGAGAAUGAAGGAGUCGCUCAUGUGCUGUUAGUCUCCAUGUGAGACAUGAGUGAGAAGAGCAGCAGAUCUACUCUGAACACUGCUGUCUCGUCACGUGUCCAGUGAGCGCAGGCUGACCGCUCCGUGUGGCCUCACAGCUCACUGAGACGCUCUCCAUCCACUCCUGCUCAGAGAGAGUCAGGCUGCUGCUCCAGCUGUACAGACCGUCCUUCUCCAGGAGCCCAGCGCUGCUCUCCUGAGACCUGCUGCUCCCGUCCACCUUCCAGCUCAGGCUCCAGUCUGACGGGAAGCCCUUGCUGGCCACACACACCAGUGUCGCUGUCUUCUUUGAGGAGAUCUCUGCACUGGAGGGCGGCAGGACGCUCACUUUAGGACGAGUGACGCCUGACAAACACACAACACUCACCUCAGUCAAAAACAAAGCUUUUCUCUGCUUUCAAUAGCUUUUCUA